UUGGAGGGCAAGUCUGGUGCCAGCAGCCGCGGUAAUUCCAGCUCCAAUAGCGUAUAUUAAAGUUGUUGCAGUUAAAAAGCUCGUAGUUGAACCUUGGGCCUGGCUGGCCGGUCCGCCUCACCGCGUGUACUGGUCCGGCCGGGCCUUUCCUUCUGGGGAACCUCAUGCCCUUCACUGGGCGUGUUGGGGAACCAGGACUUUACUUUGAAAAAAUUAGAGUGUUCAAAGCAGGCCUUUGCUCGAAUACAUUAGCAUGGAAUAAUAGAAUAGGACGUGUGGUU
rnacentral:rRNA from 1 species